rnacentral:lncRNA from 1 species
AUAUAUAUAUAUAUAUAUAUAUAUAUAUAUAUAUAUAUCUUUUUUUUUUUUUCAGGCUGGCCCCAGACUCCUGGGCUCAAGCAAUCCUUCUGCCUUAGCCUCCAGAGUAGCUGAAACUACAGGCACACACCACCAUGCCCAGCACCUUAGAAGCUUUUUGAGACACAUUUAGAAGGAUUCCCAGAAGUGACUGGGCCAGAGGAUAUAAUAAUCAGAACAGUAGAAAUUAUUAUAUACCAUACCACCCCUYUCAUUAAGUACUCUGGAGACAUUAAUACAUGACGUCAACCACGAGCUUAAGCCUAGGAGCAGGUCCCAGAAGACUAUGGAAAGGAUUCAUCUUUUCACAUGGCAUUGAAUUUCGCAAAUUUCCAUCUUCAGAGAGCUUUAGAAGCUGAAUCACAGGCUGUGGGCUGAAAGAUUGGAGGUGUAUUUACAUGGAGCAACAGCCCAAGGAGGAGCAGCAAGUGUGAGUGUGGUGGCCCAGGUGCCAAGAGCCACAUCAGAAGGAUCCACAAAUGAAA